ACACUAGGCCUACUAACCAACACACUAACCAUGUACCAGUGAUGGCGCGACGUAACACGAGAAAGCACAUACCAAGGCCAUCACACACCACCCGUCCAAAAAGGCCUUCGAUACGGAAUAAUCCUAUUUAUUACCUCAGAAAUUUUUUUCUUCGCAGGGUUUUUCUGAGCUUUCUACCUCUCCAGCUUAGCCCCCACCCCCCAACUAGGAGGGCACUGACCCCCAACAGGCAUCACCCCACUUAAUCCCCUAGAAGUCCCACUCCUAAACACAUCUGUAUUACUCGCAUCAGGAGUAUCAAUCACUUGAGCUCACCAUAGCCUAAUAGAAAAUAACCGAA
rnacentral:lncRNA from 1 species